GUACGUUUAAAGGGGAGGUCGUAAGUGGCCUGAGAGUCCCGCUGGAGCGGGAGACCCUAUGAACCUGAUCUGGGUAAUACCAGCGUAGGGAGAAGAAAUCAAUAAAAC
rnacentral:ncRNA from 2 species